rnacentral:lncRNA from 1 species
AGUUAUAUUUGGAUCUAUGAAACAGACCAAAGUAUGGGCUGUAUAAAAGGUAAUAGUGCUGUUGUCUCAUGGGCGGGGUGGGGGGAAGAGAACUUUAGUAUAGGUAGAAAAGGAAAAUGAGACCAGCUGUGUUCUAGAUUGUUUUUCCCUCAUUCUCAUAGAUGCUGGUUGCCAACAUUGACUUGGGUCCUACUAUUUUGGACAUUGCUGGCUACGACCUAAAUAAGACACAGAUGGAUGGGAUGUCCUUAUUGCCCAUUUUGAGAGGUGCCAGUAACUUGACCUGGCGAUCAGAUGUCCUGGUGGAAUACCAAGGAGAAGGCCGUAACGUCACUGACCCAACAUGCCCUUCCCUGAGUCCUGGCGUAUCUGUGAGUAAUAGCUUGAAUCAACUUAGACAGCUUUCUCACUGACAACAUGGCAAGGUGCUGGUUGCCAUGUGUCAAAUAUUGAAACCUUUCAUCUGAGUCCUGUUCCUUUGUCACUGACUGUGAGUGGUUAGUAGAUGGACAAAGGUAAAUCCAGUGAUCUUGGAAAUGAUGCU